rnacentral:rRNA from 1 species
GAGAUGUUGGGUUAAGUCCCGCAACGAGCGCAACCCUUGAUCUUAGUUGCCAGCAUUUAGUUGGGCACUCUAAGGUGACUGCCGGUGACAAACCGGAGGAAGGUGGGGAUGACGUCAAAUCAUCAUGCCCCUUAUGACCUGGGCUACACACGUGCUACAAUGGAUGGUACAAAGGGCUGCAAGACCGCGAGGUCAAGCCAAUCCCAUAAAACCAUUCUCAGUUCGGAUUGUAGGCUGCAACUCGCCUACAUGAAGCUGGAAUCGCUAGUAAUCGCGGAUCAGCAUGCCGCGGUGAAUAC